UGAACAAUCUGCCCUUCUCAUCGGAAUAAGCGUUGGAAACGACGUCUAAUGCCGAAUACGACCUCCUUUCGCAUGAUCGGAGGUGGAAAGCUCCGGCGGAGAAGGAUGAGCUCGCGGCCUAUCAGCUAGUUGGUGUGGGUAAUGGCCCACCAAGGCGACGAUCAGUGGCUGGUCUGAGAGGAUGAUCAGCCACACUGGGACUGAGACACCGGCA
rnacentral:rRNA from 1 species